rnacentral:lncRNA from 1 species
UUUUGUCACUCAACAGUUAACUGCCACCUCUCUAUCCCUUCUUCCUCAGGAGAACCAGCACCAGCUUCUGAAUCACAACUCUGCCCAGAAAACUAUCUUCUGAUAUUGCUGAUCAUCUGUGUUUUUGGUGUUUCAUUUAGAUAUUUAUUGUUACCAUUCCAUUCUUUUCAUUUUUGUGUACUGAUAUU